UACGAAGGGGGCUAGCGUUGCUCGGAUUGACUGGGCGUAAAGGGCGCGUAGGCGGUUCGUACAGUCAGACGUGGAAUUCCUGGGCUCAACCUGGGGGCUGCGUUUGAUACGUGCGGACUUGAGUGCGGAAGAGGGUCGUGGAAUUCCCAGUGUAGAGGUGAAAUGCGCAGAUAUCAGGAGGAACACCGGUGGCGAAGGCGGUUCUCUGGGCCUGUACUGACGCUGAGGAGCGAAAGCGUGGGGAGCGAACAGG
rnacentral:rRNA from 1 species